UCACCUGACGAACAAAGUCUACGUCAAAAAUGACGUCUAUGUCAAUCAUCUCUAAUCACGUGACAUUCUUGGAACAAUGGCUGACAUCAUCCGCGCUGAGAAAGAAUCCACUCUUAUUAUUGCGCGACAUUUAGCGCUACCUGAAUGAUGGUCGUCGCAUUGAAACUAUUAAAUUGUUCUUUAAGCGGGAAUGACCAAUAUCUAGCCUGAAAACCGAAAGAAAGUGUAUUUUUUCCCUCUGCGAACGGAAUAUCGGGAGCGGUCAGAGAUCGCUCCCGAUAUCCCGGAAUAAUGGAAAUAAGCAAGAUGAAAAUUAAUGCAGGAUUACUGUAAGCGAUAAAGCGACCUCUCUCAAAUUCGCUCAAAUGAUCAUACAUGUAUCAGAUACGUCGAAAUUUAACGUAAUGAUAUCGGGAGUGGUGAGAAGCCGCUCGCGGUUCCUUAGCGUUCUCUGACUGUUCCAAAUCGAUCGAUUCGAUGACAUUUCGAGUAUCCCUCAUGUGCGGAAUAAAAACACCUAUGCAAACAUUCGCUUAAUGCCGUGCUUUGAGCUAAACGUAUAUGUUGGCGUAAUUAAAUAGCUCGAAAUUUGGCGAACGCGGCAGAUAAAAACGCGACUGGCGUCACUAUGAAACGAGAUGCAAAGUCGAUCGGCAUGCGCAAUAAGUAUUUGCCGAAACAGCCGAGAAAUGCGUAUAUGCACCGUGAGAUCAGGCGCGCAGACAAACCAAAUACGAGUUCCGAAUCGUUAUCGCUAAAAAGAACGCAUGGCAUAGUCUGUAUAGAAGUGGCUUACGCACUGAAAGGACCCGAAGACAAAAAACACUUAAUACGCUAAAAAAAGAAGAAGACAGUAGGAUAAAGGUUAGAAGUGAGAAAACUCUUUAUAAGGGAAAAAAAUCAGGAAAGAGAAAUAAAUAUUUUGCUU
rnacentral:lncRNA from 1 species